GAAAAUAGUUUGAAGAAGGGGGUAGGUGGGAAGAAAAAGAGCCAAAAGAGUACUCACAUCUGUACUGACCUAGACAUCAAUAACAAUAUUUAUAAAGCAGUUUACUAUUGAAAAUGGCAAGCAAGUCAGAUGUGGUCCCUGCUCUCUAGGGGCUCAUUGGAGCAACUGCCAAUAAGAGAUUUGACAAAUAAGCAAGGAGAGUUUGAUGAGUUAGGAGGCUAUAGGGACAUGAAAACUAAAUGGCUGUGUGAUCCUGAUUGGACCAUGGGUCAGGACAGAUGAUUAUCUUACACAGAAAGACAUUAUUGGGAAAUCGGCAAAGCAUCUGUGGGAGGCAAGAUCUUAAAACUCUAACAAGAAAUGUCCAAUUUAAGAAAAACAGACGCAGUGUUUCAUUUUCCAAUACUGAAUAUACUUGAAACCAGAUCGCUUUAUUUUGCUUCUAAAUGUCAUUUUAAAUAAAGUAAC